rnacentral:tRNA from 1 species
GGAAGAGCAUCGUCUCCGGUGGGGCGCGCGGCCUUCAAAGCCGUUGAGGUGCGAAACCGUGCCUGGUGGGUUCGACUCCUACCUCUUCCGCCA